rnacentral:rRNA from 1 species
AGCAGCCGCGGUAAUUCCAGCUCCAAUAGCGUAUAUUAAAGUUGUUGCAGUUAAAAAGCUCGUAGUUGAAUUUCAGGCCUGGCUGGACGGUCCGCCCUUCGGGUGAGUACUGUCUGUGGUCGGGUCCUACCUUCUGGCGAAGCGUCAUGGCCUUAACCGGCCGUGGCGGGGAACCAGGACUUUUACUGUGAAAAAAUUGAGUGUUCAAAGCAGGCAAAUCGCUUGGAUACAUUAGCAUGGAAUAAUGGAAUAGGACAAUGGUUCUAUUUGUUGGUUUCUAGGACCGUUGUAAUGAUUAAUAGGGAUAGUUGGGGGCAGUUA